CCUACGGGAGGCAGCAGUGAGGAAUAUUGGUCAAUGGACGCAAGUCUGAACCAGCCAUGCCGCGUGCAGGAAGACGGCUCUAUGAGUUGUAAACUGCUUUUGUACGAGGGUAAAUCCUGAUACGUCUAUCGGGUUGAAAGUAUCGUACGAAUAAGGAUCGGCUAACUCCGUGCCAGCAGCCGCGGUAAUAAGGAGGAUUUAAGCGUUAUCCGGAUUUAUUGGGUUUAAAGGGUGCGUAGGCGGUUCGAUAAGUUAUAGGUGAAAGCCCGGGGCUCAACUCCGGCACUGCCUCUGAUACUGUCGGGCUAGAGUUUAGUUGCGGUAGGCGGAAUGUAUGGUGUAGCGGUGAAAUGCAUAGAGAUCAGACAGAACACCGAUUGCGAAGGCAGCUUACCAAACUACGACUGACGUUGAGGCACGAAAGCGUGGGGAGCAAACAGGAUUAGAUACCCCUGUAGUC
rnacentral:rRNA from 1 species